rnacentral:lncRNA from 1 species
GCCAAAUAAAUAUCACAGUGGUUUCCCUAAAACAAAAGGCCUGACAGUUUAACCAAAUUUUAAUUUUUCACAUAUCUUUUGCUUAUAUCUAGCUAGAAGUGAACCAAAACCAAAGCCACAUCUGUGGAAGGAGCUGCGAUCCUGUCAGGAUCCCUAUUGAGAAGCUGUGUGGUUGUUUAGUGCCUGAAGUCAAUUGUUGCCUGACAAGAUCAUUAUCAGAGAGCUGACUGUUAUUUGCUGAAGAAGAAGAGAAUGAAUC